rnacentral:rRNA from 1 species
UACGGGGGGGGGCAAGCGUUGUUCGGAUUUACUGGGCGUAAAGGGCGCGUAGGCGGCCACCGCAAGUCGACUGUGAAAUCUCCGGGCUUAACCCGGAAAGGUCAGCCGAUACUGCGGGGCUAGAGUGCAGAAGGGGCAACUGGAAUUCUCGGUGUAGAGGUGAAAUUCGUAGAUAUCGAGAGGAACACCGGUGGCGAAGGCGGCUUCCUGGACAGUAACUGACGCUGAGACGCGAAAGCGUGGGGAGCAAACAGG